UACGUAGGGCGCAAGCGUUGUCCGGAAUUAUUGGGCGUAAAGAGCUCGUAGGCGGUUUGUCGCGUCUGCUGUGAAAAUCCGGGGCUCAACCCCGGACUUGCAGUGGGUACGGGCAGACUAGAGUGUGGUAGGGGAGACUGGAAUUCCUGGUGUAGCGGUGAAAUGCGCAGAUAUCAGGAGGAACACCGAUGGCGAAGGCAGGUCUCUGGGCCACUACUGACGCUGAGAAGCGAAAGCAUGGGGAGCGAACAGGAUUAGAUA
rnacentral:rRNA from 1 species